CGGACGAGUGAGUAACGCGUGGAUAACCUGCCGUAUACCGGGGGAUAACACUUAGAAAUAGGUGCUAAUACCGCAUAAGCGCACGGCUCCGCAUGGGGCAGUGUGAAAAACUCCGGUGGUAUACGAUGGAUCCGCGUCUGAUUAGCUAGUUGGCGGGGUAACGGCCCACCAAGGCAGCGAUCAGUAGCCGGCCUGAGAGGGUGGACGGCCACAUUGGGACUGAGACACGGCCCAAACUCCUACGGGAGGCAGCAG
rnacentral:rRNA from 1 species